GGAGGCGUGCCCGAGUGGCUGAAGGGGCUCCCCUGCUAAGGGAGUGUGUGGCUAAAACUGCACCGUGAGUUCGAAUCUCACCGCCUCCGCCA
rnacentral:tRNA from 1 species